rnacentral:rRNA from 1 species
UACGUAGGGUGCAAGCGUUAAUCGGAAUUACUGGGCGUAAAGCGUGCGCAGGCGGUUAUGUAAGACAGUUGUGAAAUCCCCGGGCUCAACCUGGGAACUGCACUUGUGACUGCACGGCUAGAGUACGGUAGAGGGGGAUGGAAUUCCGCGUGUAGCAGUGAAAUGCGUAGAUAUGCGGAGGAACACCAAUGGCGAAGGCAAUCCCCUGGACCUGUACUGACGCUCAUGCACGAAAGCGUGGGGAGCAAACAGG